GGUGGCUCAGUGGUAGAGUGCUUGCUUUGCAUGUAUGCAAGAGGCCCUGGGUUUGAUUCCUCAGCACCA
rnacentral:tRNA from 1 species